UACGGAGGGGGCGAGCGUUGUUCGGAGUGACUGGGCGUAAAGAGCACGUAGGCGGUGUUGUAAGUCAUUAGUCAAAGACUAGAGCUCAACUUUAGUAAGGCUAGUGAUACUAUAAUACUAGAGUAUCAGAGAGGAUUGCAGAAUUCCUGGUGUAGCGGUGAAAUGCGUAGAUAUCAGGAGGAAUACCGUUAGCGAAGGCGGCAAUCUGGCUGGAAACUGACGCUGAGGUGCGAAAGCGUGGGUAGCAAACAGG
rnacentral:rRNA from 1 species